rnacentral:rRNA from 1 species
CCAGACUCCUACGGGAGGCAGCAGUGGGGGAUAUUGCACAAUGGGGGAAACCCUGAUGCAGCGACGCCGCGUGAGUGAAGAAGUAUUUCGGUAUAUAAAGCUCUAUCAGCAGGAAAGAAAGAAAUGACGGUACCUGACUAAGAAGCCCCGGCUAACUACGUGCCAGCAGCCGCGGUAAUACGUAGGGGGCAAGCGUUAUCCGGAUUUACUGGGUGUAAAGGGAGCGUAGACGGCGAAGUAAGCCUGAAGUGGAAGCCCGCGGCCCAACCGCGGAACUGCUUUGGGAACUGUUUUGCUGGAGUAUGGGAGGGGUAAGCGGAAUUCCUGGUGUAGCGGUGAAAUGCGUAGAUAUCAGGAGGAACACCGGUGGCGAAGGCGGCCUGCUGGACUGCAACUGACGUUGAGGCCCGAAAGCGUGGGGAGCAAACAGGAUUAGAUACCCCCGUA